rnacentral:rRNA from 1 species
UACGUAGGGGGCAAGCGUUGUCCGGAUUUAUUGGGCGUAAAGAGCGUGUAGGCGGCCUGACAGGUCUGCUGUGAAAUCUCAAGGCUCAACCUUGAGCUUGCGAGUGGGUACGGGCAGACUAGAGUGUGGUAGGGGAGACUGGAAUUCCUGGUGGUAGCGGUGAAAUGCGCAGAUAUCAGGAGGAACGACCGAUGGCGAAGGCAGGUCUCUGGGCCACUACUGACGCUGAGAAGCGAAAGCAUGGGGAGCGAACAGG